rnacentral:rRNA from 1 species
UACGUAGGGGGCAAGCGUUAUCCGGAUUUACUGGGUGUAAAGGGAGCGUAGACGGCAAGGCAAGUCUGAUGUGAAAACCCAGGGCUUAACCCUGGGACUGCAUUGGAAACUGUCUGGCUCGAGUGCCGGAGAGGUAAGCGGAAUUCCUAGUGUAGCGGUGAAAUGCGUAGAUAUUAGGAAGAACACCAGUGGCGAAGGCGACUUACUGGACGGUAACUGACGUUGAGGCUCGAAAGCGUGGGGAGCAAACAGG